UAGUGGCGAACGGGUGAGUAACACGUGGGCAAUCUGCCCUUCACUCUGGGACAAGCCCUGGAAACGGGGUCUAAUACCGGAUAACACUCCUGCUCUCAUGGGCGGGGGUUAAAAGCUCCGGCGGUGAAGGAUGAGCCCGCGGCCUAUCAGCUUGUUGGUGAGGUAAUGGCUCACCAAGGCGACGACGGGUAGCCGGCCUGAGAGGGCGACCGGCCACACUGGGACUGAGACACGGCCCAGACUCCUACGGGAGGCAGCAGUGGGGAAUAUUGCACAAUGGGCGAAAGCCUGAUGCAGCGACGCCGCGUGAGGGAUGACGGCCUUCGGGUUGUAAACCUCUUUCAGCAGGGAAGAAGCGAAAGUGACGGUACCUGCAGAAGAAGCGCCGGCUAACUACGUGCCAGCAGCCGCGGUAAUACGUAGGGCGCAAGCGUUGUCCGGAAUUAUUGGGCGUAAAGAGCUCGUAGGCGGCUUGUCACGUCGAUUGUGAAAGCCCGGGGCUUAACNCCGGGUCUGCAGUCGAUACGGGCUAGCUAGAGUGUGGUAGGGGAGAUCGGAAUUCCU
rnacentral:rRNA from 1 species